UAUCAUAUCACACGUUAAAUGCCCUUUUUCAGGAUUGGCACCCUGCCCUUUUGAAAUCCUAGCUGGAACACUGAUUCUAUUGUUUUUCCUGUUCGAAUUAUUUUACACUAGAUAUUUGGGGCUUUUAAAGCUUGCUGUCAGAGCGUGCCAGGCUUAGAGUAUUAAACAUGUACUUUCACCAGUUAUGAUUUACUUUUUAUACAUAG
rnacentral:lncRNA from 1 species